CAGAAACAAUUGAAUCCGACGCCACUAACUUGACUGAGUAUGCUCAAAAUCUGCGACAGAAAUCGCAAACUUCCGACGGAAUAGUAAAUCGGACCACUAGAUCACUCGAACUCAAUCCUCAGAAAGCUGCUUAUAAAUGGGUGAAUCAAAACAGAAUUUCAACUAAACUCCAUUUUAAAUUUAAAACUGAAGUUUAAUUCUGGCCCACGGACGUAUGGACGCAGAAGCUAUAUUUUGU
rnacentral:lncRNA from 1 species